UCUUCUGUGUUGCUCUGCAUUCCCUGGUGGACCGUGGGGGAGAGACCAUGGCAGGCACAUCCCCAGGCCAGGCCCUCUUGAGAGUCAUGGACUGAGAAAAAGUCAGUAUGAAAAACCAUUGGUGUUUCAAACGAAAGUGCUGAAGUGAUGUUCUCUGGGUGUGAGCAAGGGAGGGAAUGUUUAUUGGUCUCUCAAACUUCUUCUGAGAGCAUACGACUUGUGCUAGCUGUUGAGGGAAGCACAGAGGGGGUUUAGGGAGAGCUCGCACCUGCCCUGGGCUGGUGGGCAGAGUCUUGGGGAUGGAUUGCUGUCCGGAGUGAGAGGGAGAGGAUGACACAGGCUAAAUGGUGUGUGGAAAGUAAGUCCAGACAUGUAUUUUAAGGACAAUCUGGCGAGGAUUCUUGGAAAUGGGGAGUCUUGAAGGAUGUGCUUCUAAUGCUGGCAAAUGCUGUGAACCCAAAGAGGAGCCUGGGCCAUUGGUCAGGGUCUCUGAAGAAAGCAGAUGGAAGGAAGCAGAUGGUGCCCGCAAAUGGAAAAAUCAAUCAGUCAAUAAGUGGACUAGGAAAAUCAGCAAGGGACAGGGAAGCACUUUGGGACAGCAUUGGAGAGCCUUUACCAUCCCGGACCUGAACGAGAAGGGGAGAGGAUGCUCCAGGACCUAGAAGCAGCUGUCAGUGUAGAUGAAGGCCAGGACAGGAGCCGAGGCUUUCAGGACCAGAGCAGCUGGGGUCAGAGUUGGGAGUCAGCCUUGCUCCACUCUCUUCCGCACUCCCAUCUCUUGUCGGCAUUUCCACGGGAUGGACCUUGAGUGAUAUCGUUCGGACAGGGCAGUGUCCCGGGGCCCAGACCAGGGUGGAGAGGGAGUCUGGAGGUAGCUCACUGGGCUGGAUGGUGGGGUAAUCAAGUGAAACUUC
ensembl:lncRNA